AGAGAGAGAGAGAGAGAGGGGUUUAAAGGUUUAAGAAAUAGAGAUUUUUAAAGGACGCGUAAAGAGAGAAUGCUUAUAGAGAAGGAGAGUAGAAUAAUAAUAAUUGAUGGAUAGCUUAGUAUUAAAAUUGAAUAUUAAUCUUUUAAAGGUUUAAAAUUCACUUCAGAGAAAACUAGUCAAAAAGAUUGGGAAGCAGAGGGACUAAAUAUAGAGAGAGGAAGUAGUAUUAGUGUUAAAUUUGAAGCUUAAUAUUUUAAAAAUUCAAAAUUUAGAUAGAAGAGGAAAAGAGGAAGAGAGAGAAGGUUCAUGUUUCAAAUCAUACCAACACCAAAAAGUAUGUAAUUUUAAUUUAUUUAAUAAUUUAAUAUGAAUAAAAUAAUUCAAAAUAAUUUUUACGUACUUAUUAUCUAAUUU
rnacentral:misc_RNA from 1 species